UUAAUUCCAUCUGUGAAUUCUACCCCACUCAGAAGGGGAUGGAUGGAAAAUGUAUGAGUCACUCAUAAACAGAGCAGUCAAUGAUUACAUGUUACUUGAAAUAACCUCACAAAGGUGGGCAGAGAAACCUGAGAGCGAGCAGUGAAGGGAAGAAAACUAUAGGGUUCAUGGAAUAAUUAUUUGAUUUCCUUACAAAUAAUAGGGCAUUUCAUUAUUGGCAGACCACAUCCAGCUGUCUGGGCCACAAAUCUCUCCACUUGAAGAAGAGAAAAAUGAACUGAUCCAUUCCUAUCAUACAAAAUUCCAGGGAUUCUAAAAAUAAAUUCUUUCCCUUUCCAUAGGUUUGAGACCUGCCCCCACUACAUAAAUAGGGGAUAUUUUCUAGCCAUCUCCUUAGUGCUUUUUCGUCUAUGGAGUUUUCUACUUAAGUUAGCAUUUGGUCUAUAUUUUAAACCAGGAAAGGACAGGCAAAUGUAGUCAAUUUGUAUUUUUAAAAGAACUGCAGAGUCCUUCUUCAGCUGUGCUCAUUUUUUAACGUGAGGACACGUCACUCUUUUGAAUGAGAUGAGUUUUCCAAGGUGACUUCUCAGACCAAUUUAAUUCACUACCUGCCAGAAACUGUUGCUGAAAAUAACUGACCUCAGAGGUUUUCCAAUAGAGUCUGAAAAAAUAAAUAAAAUAACAACAUACAGACAUCCAAGAUUAAAUGGCCUGCUCCUGCUCCUGCUCCAGGGCCAGGCACUUGGCCUGAAACGCCUCCUCCUGGGUGAUAUCCUCUGCCUGUGACCUCUCCUGGCAAGCCAAAGUCCUCCUCCCUCCACCUCUCCUCCCAAGCCAAGUCUUCUUCCUUUAAAGUCAAUAUGGCCUCCUUCUGCUUCUCUGCCACCAGCCGCUGGAGGAGGAGGAUCUGGCAGGGGGUUGGAGGAGGAGGGCCCUGGCAGAGAGUUGGACUAGAUAAACUCUGAAAUCCCUUCUAGCCCUACCUCUCUAUGAUAUCUUUGUGAAUGAAUACAGUUGAUGGAACUCACUAGAAACUAUUGCCCUAUGUGUAACUGAGUUACAGGUCUAGCUCCUGUGUUGUACACAGGUAGAUAUCCUUGAUUUAGAUUGCAUAUUUCUUAGAUGUCAAAUGUUGACAGAAAUAUAUCUAUUGUCAGGACUCAUGACAGCCUUACUUUCAAGACAGACAGCCUUACUUUCAAGACACUAAAAUGUGAGAAGUAUACUUUAGAAUUCCAUGAGUUUUUUUAUAUAGUACUUAAUUGACCAUGAUUAAGGAGGGAACUCCUAAGAAUCUGUUCUGUGAUGCCACGUUCAAUUGCUGAAAUGAACACUGUUGAGUGAUUCUACCUACGACUAACAUGUGAAGCAGGAAUAGAGCAGCUGUAUUUCAGUACGUACAACACAGCUCCAGAGCUCCCCAUUCAUUUCCUCAUUCUCAAAUUCUGAGUAGACACACAUUAACAUCAGAGAGUAUAUGUCCCUGAAUAGAUAAAUAAUAUCAGAAAAGACAAAAGAAGUUUUCUCCCUCCAAACCUCAGCAUAAAGACUGGCUAUGACCACAAUUAUUUUGCUUCCUAAAUAUAAAGUUUGGUUUAGGUUUGCACCUGGUGUUGAGGUAUACUAUUUCCGUAGAAAUGUGUGGAAAAUAAUGAGGCAAGAUCUGAGCCUUGGCCCUUGUAAUUUUGCAUCAGCCAGCAGGGAUUGGCCAGAGCAGAGGGAAGCAUCUUGUACAAGUGCGGUAGAUCUAGCAUGUACUCUUUCAGAGUCAAUCAGAAUUGUCAUAAGGAUACCUGUUGUUCAGUGGGUCAUUUGCUCUGGCUAGCCAGGCUCCAGUUUCAGGUGCUGCCACAUGUGCUGUGCUGGUUUUUUGGUGCUUUUUUUUUUUUAAGAUACUGGGAUUUCCUGUAUCUAAUUUUUCCUCCACAUAGCAAAUAUGCAGCACAGUGAACAGAUUAACUUGCAUCACAUGCCUUUUGUGGCACUUCAAAAGACUUUGAGGCACCACAACCCACACGUUCCUACUCAAGGGGAUGCAACCCUGGUGUGCUAAAUUAAAGCCACAAUUUAGUAGUUGGUAGGGGAUGCUACUACUCAAGAAAGAGUCUAAGAAAGGAUCAAAAAUUGCUCUAACUCUAAACAGUAAUAUUUCAAAGUGUAGUUUAUUGUGGUAAAGGCCCAGGGCCUUUCAACUUACCAAAAGACGGCAAAAAUAUCAGAGAUCAAUUGAUUGAUAGUAACUUGCUGCUUCCUUUAAUAAAGAUGUAGAGGGAAAAGAAGAUGGACAGGAUCUAGCUAGAUGGAAAUGCAAAUUCUAAGUGCUGUGCUCAUGAUGAGUAAGCCACUUAAAAGUUGUUUAUGUGAUUUUUCUUCAUUGCAUUUAAGAAAAAAACCCCAGAAAGCCAUCAUUUUGUCACUUAAUAAGUCACUGUUCAGCUAAAUCAAUCCCACAUCCUAACCUCAAAACCGAGUACAAACAAACAAGUAUAAAUGAUAGAACUUUACUCAAAGUAGAACUUUGAAAGUAUGUUUCUUUCAUGCAUAAACACGUUAAAGCUUGAAAUAUUUCAUUAGGUGCAACUUCUUCAAAAAGACAAGAGUAAAGUGCCAGUUCUUCCUCAAUAUGCCACAUUUACUAAGUUGGAAUGGUGACAAGUGUGAUCAUAAGUUUAAUUCAGAAGUUUACAACAGGUUAGUGACUGAGUGUUAAAGCUCAACAUAAUUCAAAGUAACUAAUUUGAUAUUAAUUUAUUUUUCUGAUCAUGAAUUAUCUGCAAGUAGCUUGCAGUUUUCUUAAUGCUUCCUUUUAAAACUUUUCAUAAACCCUUUUUACAACUAAUUUUAAGUUUGUGAUUUGCUGCAGACAUUCAUGCACAAAUCAAUGUUGAUAAAAAUGGUUAAACUGCUUACCAUGCCAACCAACACUGUCUUGCUAUAUUCCAAUAUAUUGUUUCCUUUUGGCUCAUACUCAAUUUGAGAUCUCUUUGGGGCUGGUCUUAUCUUCUUUUUCCCCCUGUGUCUGUACAGUAUCUAGUAAAAUGCUAUGGUAAUACAAAUAGGAAUGCUGCUAUUUCUCAUUAGCUGUGUAAACCUUCUACUUAGUGUUGAUAGCAGUAAUAAAGGAUAGCUAUCUGUAGCCCUUCUAAAGCAAGGGCAGGCAAAAUCUGGACUGUGGGCUGGAUCCAGCAGGCAGUGGACUUCAUUUCCCAGCAGCCCCUGCCCCCGUGGCUAGGACCCCAGCAGCAGCCAUGCUGUGAUAGCAUGGGGGCCAAGGUUUCCAUGGAAACUGGCCCCAGCAGCACUGGAGGCAGUAGCAGU